rnacentral:rRNA from 1 species
AUUGAACGCUGGCGGAAGGCCUAACACAUGCAAGUCGAACGAGUGGCGGACGGGUGAGUAAUGUCUGGGAAACUGCCUGAUGGAGGGGGAUAACUACUGGAAACGGUAGAUAAUACCGCAUACCAUCGGAUGUGCCCAGAUGGGAUUAUCUAGUAGGGUGGGUAACGGCUCACCUAGGCGACGAUCCCUAGCUGGUCUGAGAGGAUGACCAGCGACACGGGAACUGAGACACGGUCCAGACUCCUACGGUAGGCAGCAGAGGGGAAUAUUGCACAAUGGGCGCAAGCCUGCUGCAGCCAUGCCGCGUGUAUGAAGAAGGCCUUCGGGUUGUAAAGGACUUUCAGCGGGGAGGCGUUACCCGCAGAAGAAGCCCCGGCUAACUCCGUGCCAGCCGCCGCGGUAAUAC